rnacentral:tRNA from 1 species
GUGGCUGUGGCUCAGCAGUAGAGCGCUCGCCUAGCACAUGUGAGGCCCUGGGUUCAAUCCUCAGCACCACA